GCCGGGGUGAAGGCAUGGGUGCCCUGCAUCUGUGCAUGCGUCUCAUGGGUGAGAGUUCACUCUCAAGACGGGUGUGCUGCACACCAUUUACGUUUUAUCUAAAAGUAUGAAGUAUCUAGAAAUACAGCCAGUUCAGGCUGCUGACUCAGUGUGGAUCACCGGCCAACUCCAGGCAGGAUUUCUGGUGGUCACGCGCUCUGUGUCUUCCGACCUGGGCAGACCGUGGCCUCCUGGACCAGGCCCCACGGGGGAGCCAUGGGUGGCCAACGGGCAAGGCGGAGGCCCAGGGCUCCAGGGUGCACGGGAGGUCCCCGCAGGCACUCACGCUCUGCGGGAGCCUGAGGAAGCGCGGGGUCCACGAAGACAAUCGAUAAUCUGUAACAGGAAGAGAAGAGAGUUUUACUGAACCCAAACGGAAGACUAUCGUCCAGGAAAGAGCUUCCAGAUCACUCGGAGGAAGUGCUCCAGAGCGGUUCUAUAACUCGUCGGGACAGAGAACGUCGAACAAGUCAGGGAUGUGUCCCUUCAUACCCACCCGGCUCCUCUGUCCACGGGAUUCUCCAGGCAAGGAUGCUGCAGCGGGCUGCCGUGCCCUCCCCCAGGGGUUCUUCCCGACCCGGAGAUCCAACUCUCAUCUCUGCUUCUCAUGCGUUGGCAGUUCAGUUGUUCAGUCGUGUCUGACUCUUGGCAAACUCAUGGACUGCAGCACACCAGGCCUCCCUGUCUGUCACCAACUCCCGGAGCUUGCUCAAACUCGUGUCCAUCGAGUCGGUGAUACCCUCCAGCCAUCUCACCCUCUGUUUUUAUUUAUUCAUUUACUUUUGGUUGUGCUGAGCGUUCGUUGCUGCCCAGGCUGCUCUCUAGUUGCCGUGCUCGGGCUUCCGAGUGCGGCGCCUUCUCUUGCCGGGGCCCACGGGCUGUAGAGCACACGGGCUUGGCAGCGGUGGCUCCGGGCCUGAGAGCACAGGCUCAGUAGGCGUGGGGCACGGGCUUAGUUGCCCCGAGGCACGUGGGAUCUCCAGGACACAGGGAUCAAACCCGCGUCUCCUGUGUCGGCAGGUGAAUUCUUUACCGCUGAGCCGCCAGGGAAGCCACAGACAUUCCCACUGCGCCCUUUCCUUUAAUAAUUAAAGCAUGUAUAAUGUAUGUUUGCUGGGCCACAAACAGGCUAUUCCAGUUGGCCUCAAGUUCCAGUUGACUCGGGGGGAUAUAUGUGUGUGUAUAGCUGAUUCACUGUGCUGUGCAGUAGAAGUUAGCAUUGUGAAGCAACUACACUCCAAUAAAAAUCAAUUUUAAGACAAGUUAACUCACGUAAAAGCAGAAUGACUUCCCAGCUCCUCAGUCCGUGAGCGUUUCUUUUAUCACCGGCUUCAGUCCCAAAGGCUCCCUGCUCCUUGGAGGGGGGGCGCCUGGCAGAAGGGAAAGACAGACACCCCACCAGCAGGCUGGAGUCUGGGGGCGUGUCCGCCUCCUGGGUGAGGUCAGGCCCUGAGGACCUUCCUGCUGGGUUAGCCUCACCCCUUUCCC
ensembl:lncRNA